CUGGGCCAUGGAGUGUACCUGGGUAAUAAGGCUGAUAUUAGAGGAGAAGGGGCAUUGUCAGAGAGCUUUCGGUUCAUCAAAGGACUUUUUGUGGAGAGGGGACACCACAUCCAUUAAAGUGGCUGCGCAGGUCCCAGGGUGAGUCUCUCUCCAGCAUUUCUUUACGGUCGCCAGUGGUGUGCCAUGCCUGCUCAGUGUGCCCCUCUCUGCCCGACUCCUAUCUUGGGCUUUGCAAGAAAUAGGCAAUAAUCAAGCGUUCGUUUUCCAGUUUCUGCUCUUGAGCUUGCUUUGGAGCGGGGAAGCAAGGCUCCUGUGUGCCUUGCUCCUGGAUGAUGCUCACUGCUGGGGCUGAGGUGGCUUGGCUUAUUCAUUUAAAAUUAAAGCAUGCAUGUGGCUAUUGAGCUCAUGUCCUUCCCACUGGGGCGGAGGGAGAGUCAAUUUUUAAAUUAUCCAUAGGAAUAAGAACUGGUGGAAGCCUCCAUGGAGUCUUUCUUGGUGGGCAAGAUUUUGGAGAACGUAGUUACCUACCUAAAAAGCAUCGAGCUCCCUGCUGGCUUCACGCGCACAGGGCUGGCAGUGGCUUCGUGGCCACAGCCUC
rnacentral:lncRNA from 1 species